GAAGUUCUGGCUAGGAAAAUGCCAGACAAGCCCCAGAGGAAGAAAUGAAGAAAUCAUUACUUAGAGUCACAAAGAGGACGGCCAAUCAAAGCGUGGGCAGGACGGGGGAUGGGCCCACCCAGGUGUGGACAGGUUUGCUGUGCUGUAUGACAUGUGGACUUGGGAAGCAGCUCUUCUGGAAAACAAGCGCCAGCUUCUCGACAGUUACUUUGAAGCCUACCAGCACACGUUGGACCCCGAGGAGAGGUUUGCUUUAGCACAAGUAAUGACGGACAUCAUGCACCGGCGCCCGGGCUUUGAUCUCAGCCACCCUUAUUUUAUUAAGGCCUACCAGGAUGCAUGCACCUGCCUGAGGCUUCACCUGCAGCUAGUGAGGGGCAUCCUCAACCAGCAAGUAAGUACAAUUGGGUUUGUAAACUACUACAUGUGAGAAGAGGAUGGAAAGCGCAGGCCAGAAAUGAAAAUAGUGUUUUCCUACCAUUGCAGAUCUGGAAUCCGGGUUUUCUAGGGCGGCAUGUUCAACAUGUUCAUUUGUAAGCUCAUUCAUAUUGUUGGAUUCCAAGUACAGCUGUGGUCUUAAAGGAAGAUUUCUACCCCUAUUUACAGUUAUUGGUCCACAAGGAAUCAAUGAUCUCAGUUUUUAUUACAUCAUAGGGCUUACCAGAAGAACUAAUGAUACAUCUUUUCAAGACAUUAAUGUAUAAAAUUGUGUUUAUUUAAAAAUUUUUGUGAUUAUUUUUAGGACACUGAAAGAAACAAUCACAUCGUGUGUUCUCUAGGGAAAAGCCAAUAUCAUGGAGCAAGCGGAGACAAAGGAUUGUUGCAACCUGGUUGGAAUUUUUUCCAUGCAGUGAAUUAUUUAACAGAAAGAAAUUUUCCCUUUCACCUCUUAAAAUUAUCUGCAUUUGGUUGCAUUUUUGCUUCUCUUGGCUGACUGACUUAGACUCAGAGACCAGCAUGUCUCAUUGCAAACGAGUCUUCAAAACAAUGUCUGGGUAAAACUUAGUCAAAUGAUAAAGAGACACAAAGGAAUGAGAUCCUUCUCAUGUCAAGACUCAUAACUCAUGUCCAUGGGAAAGUUUAACUUUUCUAAUUUUAACAUUUAUGCUACAUUUUUAGAUAGAGCAUCAGAGGGAGUAUGUGCAGAGGCUUUGGCGAGAUGAUCAUUCAGACAAUAGCAGUACAUUUGGACUUCCCCUUAACAUAAUUUGCAAACAACUUAUUUCCAUCAACAAUAGCUAGUAAGUUGGCAUUGUCUUUUACAUUUAUAUUUUACAUUUAGUCUUCUAGCUUAAUUAAGGGUAUAGUGUUAAAUCUAAACACUGCUUUAUAAGUACCUGUCAAGUAUUUGGGGAGAUGAGAGAAAUAGGUCUAAAAGCCACAAGAGGGAUUCAAAUAUUGAGUAUCUGUUUGAUUUGUAAAUAAUAAAAUAAAUAGGAGACUGGAAUUUAAACUUACGCCACUGGGUGCAAAAUCAUCAUUCCCUUGAUAAGUCCUGGGGGGAAAAAGCAAUUGCUCUUGAAAUGCUGCUAUAGGAUUUAAUCAGCACUAAAACACAGGCCCACAUAUAUAAAACUUGGAUGUGCUUCAAAGUUUCUUAAAAAGUAAUUUCGUUAUUCUAGCAAGUGUCACUAAAGAGGUUUCUGCAGACUUGCCUUGGGACUCCCACCCUUUCAAGGAGCAGAGUUAAAUUCCCUGAGGCCACUCAGAGAGGGCAUACGCCUUGUCGCCCACCCAACAUAUAGCAUGACCAGCCCCCUCAUUCCCUUCCAGCCUUGCAGGGGGAGGUGACAGGGCAGCAGCUGUGGUACUGCAGAUAGUCAGGGUGCCGUGAGAGCUGAGAGCUGAGAUUCUAUCCUCAUUUCUUGAGAAAGAGCCCCAGGCUUCUAGGCACAAGAGUCUGCAUUUUCUCCAUAGCGUUUUCUUAGGGCUGAAUUCUUCUCUGCAAUAAACUUAAGACACCAGCUGUGUGUGCGUAGCUUGCUGCUAUGGCAAGAAUCUACUGUUCAGGAAAUGGUUUUUGGCAGAACAGGCUAGGGCUAUAUGGAUGUUAAAACCUGCCAGAAUAGUCUCAGAAGUGAAUGUUACUUGCUUGGUGAGAUUCCUUUCCAGACUUUGGGCUAUAUUUUUUAAAAUGCAGGACUGAGAAGGAUCCUAUUUGCAUAGAUUUAAAGGGAAAUGUUAUGUUCUUCAGUUCUUUGUAGGUAUGGAAGGACCCUUGACUUGUGCUGUGUCCUUUAUUUCCAAAGGAAUAACCUAUUCUGGGCUCAUACAUUUAUAAAACAUAACAUCCUUACAUCAUCCAGUAUGAAUGAUUCCAACAGUUGUAUACAGAAUUUAAAAAUUGUCUUUGUCCAUUAACAUUUUGGGAAACAACGGAAACAGAUUCAAGUGAAAAAUAGAAACUAAUAACCAUGGGGAUUAUUAUUUUUUUAUUUAGUCACUUUUCUUUUGAGUUAUUUUGUUUUCAGAUAUUUGACUAAAACUAUUUAGUGAAAUAUUGACAGUUUUGCUGUAUACAGUCUUAAUAGUAUUCUUAUUGGGCAUUUAGAAUACACACCCAUGUCUUUCAGUUUUAAAAGGAUUCCCAGUAAAGCAAAGAGUACGCUGUAUAACCCAGUGGGUUCCCCGGACAGACUCUGAGGUCCCUCUGAGCUCUCAGUAUUUUAAAUAAUGCUCUGGACCUAGAGGACCUGUUUUACUGGUCUAUAAAAAUAUAAAAUUCGAAUACCUUCAGAGAUAGAUUAAAUUCUUUGUUGUGUCAAAUUGCCAUUCAUUGUUCCUCUUCUUCAAGCCCCGCUUUGAAAAAUGUCUAUCUGCUGGAGUUCCACCCUUCCCUCGGCCUGGCGGCGCUCAUCCCCGGGGCCCUCGAGCAUCUCCUCCGAGAGGCCUGCCGCGCCCGCAGGCCCACGUCGGCCGGUGGCCUCGCCGUGCUAGAGCGACGCGUCCUGCGGCUGGCCCUGGACCUGUGGCUCACUCCAGCCAAGCCCGAGGCCUGGUAUAGCGCUCAGCUCCAGAAAGAUGUAGGUUCUUCCUGAAGGGGGUAGUUGGGUCUUUGGCAAAAAGAACGCUUCCUUCCAGAUGUUACUACUUAGCUUUGUUUUUCUGUUUGGCUCCAUUCCCCACAAUUUGGCCAGAGACAGAUCACAGUCAUAGGCUUUGCCAAAAUUUUUAUGUGAUUUGUAGAGGGGAUGCAGGGGAUAGAGUCAAAGUUUCUAAUUUAUAAGGAUGCAGCGACACUUAAAAUGAAAAGAAUGAUAUAUAUAUAGGUACGUGGAAAAUGUUUUCUGGUUUGUUAUUUAGAUUUUAACAAUAUUUUAAAUUAAAAAUUAUAUAUUUUCUUUUCACUAAGACUCAUCCUAAAAUUUGCUCUUUUUUUUUUUUUUUUUUGAGACAGAGUCUCGCUUUGUUGUCCAGGCUAGAGUGAGUGCCGUGGCGUCAGCCUAGCUCACAGCAACCUCAAACUCCUGGGCUCGAGUGAUCCUUCUGCCUCAGCCUCCCGAGUAGCUGGGACUACAGGCAUGCGCCACCAUGCCCGGCUAAUUUUUUUUUUAUAUAUAUAUAUCAGUUGGCCAAUUAAUUUCUUUCUAUUUAUAGUAGAGACGGGGUCUCGCUCUUGCUCAGGCUGGUUUUGAACUCCUGACCUUGAGCAAUCCGCCCGCCUCGGCCUCCCAAGAGCUAGGAUUACAGGCAUGAGCCACAGCGCCCGGCCUAAAUUUGCUCUUUUUUGUCUUGAGUCAAGUCCCAGCUACUCAGGAGGAUGAGGCAGGAGGAUCACUUGGGCCCAGGAAUUUGAGGUGGUUGUGAGCUAUGCUCACACCAGUACACUCAACACCAGGCAACAGAGUGAGACCGUGUCUCGAAGAAGAACAGAAAAAAACCUUUGUAUACAUAUUGGCAGAUUGCUUUCCAAAAAGUUGUGCCAACUUAUAAUGCCACCAAUAAUGUACAAAAGUACCAGUUCUGCUAUAUAGUGUUAGGCAAAAGCAUAUAAUGUAUGUUCUAAUAUCUACAUAUGCAUAAGAGGAC
ensembl:lincRNA